rnacentral:rRNA from 1 species
GACGAACGCUGGCGGCGUGCCUAAUACAUGCAAGUAGAACGCUGAAGCUUGGUGCUUGCACCGAGCGGAUGAGUUGCGAACGGGUGAGUAACGCGUAGGUAACCUGCCUGGUAGCGGGGGAUAACUAUUGGAAACGAUAGCUAAUACCGCAUAAGAGUAGAUGUUGCAUGACAUUUGCUUAAAAGGUGCAAUUGCAUCACUACCAGAUGGACCCGCGUUGUAUUAGCUAGUUGGUGAGGUAACGGCUCACCAAGGCAACGAGACAUAGCAGACCUGAGAGGGUGAUCGGCCACACUGGGACUGAGACACGGCCCAGACUCCUACGGGAGGCAGCAGUAGGGAAUCUUCGGCAAUGGACGGAAGUCUGACCGAGCAACGCCGCGUGAGUGAAGAAGGGUUUCGGAUCGUAAAGCUCUGUUGUAAGGGAAGAACGAGUGUGAGAGUGGAAAGUUCACACUGUGACGGUAUCUUAACAGAAAGGGACGGCUAACUACGUG